UUUGCCUACGGGGGGCAGCAGUGGGGAAUAUUGCACAAUGGGGGAAACCCUGAUGCAGCGACGCCGCGUGAAGGAUGAAGUAUUUCGGUAUGUAAACUUCUAUCAGCAGGGAAGAAAAUGACGGUACCUGACUAAGAAGCCCCGGCUAACUACGUGCCAGCAGCCGCGGUAAUACGUAGGGGGCAAGCGUUAUCCGGAUUUACUGGGUGUAAAGGGAGCGUAGACGGCCAGACAAGUCUGAAGUGAAAAUCCAGCGCUUAACGUUGGAAGUGCUUUGGAAACUGCCAGGCUAGAGUGCAGGAGGG
rnacentral:rRNA from 1 species